rnacentral:rRNA from 1 species
CACGUAGGGGGCGAGCGUUGUCCGGAUUUAUUGGGCGUAAAGAGCUCGUAGGCGGCUCAGUAAGUCAGGUGUGAAAACUCCAGGCUCAACCUGGAGACGCCACCUGAUACUGCUGUGGCUAGAGUCCGGUAGGGGAGCAUGGAAUUCCUGGUGUAGCGGUGAAAUGCGCAGAUAUCAGGAGGAACACCCAGUGGCGGAAGGCGGUGCUCUGGGCCGGAACUGACGC